GGGAUUAAACCUACGGCGUAGCAGCAACCCGUGCCACAGCAGUGACAACACUGGUUCCUUAACCACUAGGCCACCAGGGAAUCCCUCUCUCCUCUAUUUUAGAACCUCAAAAAAGUCUGCUGUGUGAUGCUCUGAGGUCGUGGGUGCGGCGGUUGUGGAACAUGCUGCUCAGGGCUUCUUGGAGAGAAUCUGCUGUAGGGAGUAGAGUUACAUCAGCCUCUGGCUGCUGCACCCCUGGAACACAUUAGUGUUCAUGCCAAGGCCACUGCCCCUGGGCUGCCACAGCCAGUGACAGCACACAGCAGGGACUCUAAGCCGGCCACUCCUGGCCUCUGCAGGACUCCUGCAGUGGUGACCUUGGCUUGCAAUCUCCCCAUCUGUCUGCUCAGGACUUUCUCAGGGCUGCUCUGUGGCCUGAGGCUCUUCCUACCAAUCCUCUCCCCACCUCCUUUUCUCUCUUCAUGGGUGUCAGAUCCGCAUCCGGCCCAAGGUUCCCCCUAACUACUCCUGCGCCCCCUUUUUCCUUCGGAAGCACAUUCCUCUAGAAAUCGCUUGCGUUUCUAAUUCUGUCUUGGUGAGUGACCUCAGAGGACCUGAACGGACUCAGGGGGAUGUUUUUCUUGGGGAUGGGGCGUGGAGAGUGUGGGAUUUGGAGCAGUUUCCGUGGUGGGGUGAUGUGGUGUGGAAAAGGACAGUGCGUACGGGAGGCGAGGGGCCGAGUGGGCUCGGAGGAUGUGGCAGAAGCAGAAAGCCAGAGCCUAGACGUGGCUAGAAGAUUAAGCCUCUGGGAACAUCUCAAGAUUUGGGGUGAGAGGCCGGGGUUCCCAUUUCAUUUUUACCUUAGAGGAUAAGAGAGCCUCAGCAGCUGGAGGACUUUAUAACCAGGCGUCUUGCUGUGCACGAGCAGGUGCAAAGCCAGAAAGUUCACACUGUGCUUUGUGGAGGGGACCUGCAGCCUGGGGGGGCACGGAGGGUGGUCAGAGAGCUGGCCAUUGUUCCCGCGCCACCUAACCUGGGGCUCCGCAGAGGAAGCUGGUGAGGCUGCUGAAUGCAAAGAAACCUUCUGUUCUCAGGGAGCGCUGUUUCCUGGUCCGGAUGGAUUACAUCAGCUACCCAGUGAACCUGGGAAUGAUGUCACCGAGUCCCAGUUAGUGACCAUUAAGAAGUUGGGAAGAAGGAAAGCCCUAUGAGCUGGGAAUGGAACUAUGUCAGUGGGGUAUCCAAAUGAAACCAGGUCCUCCUGGUUUGAUGAGUAUGAUUUUUUUUUCCAAGGGGAGUUAAGGACAUUUAUUUCACAUGUACAUUCUGUACAUUUUCUCUAAAUCAUGCAGAGCUGAAAUAUUUACGGUCAUCUCUUGCCUGCUCCCAGGCUCUGGCUCGCUUCUGGCACCCAGUGAUACAGAUGUGGACACUGAACUUGGCCUCCCGGCCCCCAGGUUCCUGGGCCUGGCAGCCGGCAGCUCCUAGGACCCUCCUCCUCCCAACUACUCUGUUCCCUCCUGCCAGAGGCCCAGCAGACCAUAGGAACACGGCCGCUCAGCUAGCAGCAGUCUGAGGGGCCCUGCUGCAGAGGCUGCGGCAGGCAGCAGUCAGGCUUGCACUGUGGGCGGUAGCUGUCAGCUUGGGAGAUGCACAGGCAAGCAGGGAGCUCGCCACACUGCUGUCACCUUAGCAUUUUCAUGAAAUCGCUCGAGUCUGCAAUACGGUCUGUAUCUCUCCGGAAGGCCACCUCUGCCUCACUUACCUCCAUUGUCCAAGAACCCUGAGACCCACUUGGUCUAAAGUGGGGAGGUGAUGCGUGCUAAUAUUAUUGGCUACGCUAAGUGCUUUCCGCGUACUUUAUCAAGCUAUGUUUAUAUAACUAAGAGGGUCCGCUAACGGGACUUUUCCUGAGCAAAGAAAAGUCUGCUCCAUGCUCUGGUAUACAUUUUAAAUGCUCUCAGACACAGUUAGCCAAAAGUGUCAGGUGGAUUCUAUCAGCUCACCAUCAGUUAUUUGAUGAGAUGCUCAACAAGAUUCUGGAAUAGGUUAUGAUGGCAGUUUCAACAGCAGUCGUCUGAUGAAAAAUGGAAGAAUUAGCCUUGUUAACUGAGGGUAUCUGGCUCUGCAUGGCCUUGGGAGAUGUAAAAAUCACUGUGUAAGAAAAAGGCAGCUCCUGCAAAAAGUUACUUCCCGUGGUUUUAUCUCUGAACUGCCUUUUCUGUUCCCGUACCUCUGACGGCUUCUCCUCUGCUCCUGACCCUCUGAGCUAACAAAUGUACCGUUCCACAUCUUUCUUCUGUUCCCUGUUCUACCUUCUGACUCGAUGUUCCAUUUCCCCUCAGAUAUGACCAUUGCUUUUCCUGGCAAAGACGCUGGUCCUCGUCGCCUCUGCAGCCUUCAGAUGAGAUCACAGCCUUGAUCAGUAGUGGAACAGCAACCUCCUGCGGGACCUUGAGCCAUGGAUUUCUGACAUUUGAGAAGAUAAUUUGUUACACAGCAGACAACCAGCAUAAAUGGGUACAUAAAAUUCCCCCUUUUGGUCCCAUGUCAUCCAGGACGCCAUAUUUUCAAAUUUUGGAUGACUGUUUUGUGCUGAGCUCCAAAGGAUGCAGAGGUGCUGUGCUCGACUCUGAGGAUACAGACAUGAGCAACACCAGGUCCAGUCACUGGCCUCACGGAGCUUCAUCGGAGACAUGCUUUCUGGACCCAACAAGUCACUCAUCACUCUCCAGAUAUGCUUCAUGCUUUUCCUCUCUAGGCUUGUCCUCUACCUGGAUUGUAUUUCUUCCCCAUGGUCUUUUGUUUUGUUUUGUUUUAUUCUGAACACUUUCUUUUUUUGUUGUUACUUAAUAAAUUUUAUUACAUUUAUAGGCGUACAACAAUCAUCACAACCAAAUUUUAUAGCAUGUCCAUCAUUUGUUGAAUUAUUCAAAAGGCAUACGGGAGCUCUGAGGUGGCCUAGCAGGUUGACAAUCAGGUGCUGUCACUGCUGUGGCUCAGGUCACUGCUGUAGUGCAGGUUUGAUCCCUGAUCCAGGAAUUUUGGCAUUCCAUGGGCAUGUCCUAAAGAGAGAGAGAGAGAGAGAGAGAGAGAGAGAGAGAGAGAGAGAGAGAGAGAGAGAGAAAGAAAAGAAAAGAAAAGAAAAGAAAAGAAACCGGCUCAAUAAAUUCUUAAAAAAAAAAAAAAAAAAAAAAAGAAAGGCCAGACAUAAGUCUUGCUUCCUCCAAAACGCUUCCAGAUUCCCCAAACUGGGAUUAAUUCAUUUAUACUCCAAAGGCCAUUUGUAGUUCUGUUAUAAUUCAUCAUGGUACAAGAAAAAGACCAUGAACUUUGAUGCUAAAAAACACUGGGUUCAAAUCCUGUUUCUUUCACUUACUGACCACAUAAUUUGGAGCAAAAUACAUAGGUCUUAAAAGUCAGAUUCUCCAUUAUGAAACAGAAAUAAUAAUGUCUAUCUCACAGGUUGUUAUAUAGAGCAAAUAAUACAGAUGGAAACAAUAUCAUGGCACAAAAGAUGGUCCAACUUUUAUGCUGUGUUUGUGGAAAUGGCUGGUUAGUCUACCUCUGCAGAAGUGUUAAAGGGAAAUAGUCCAUAAUAGAUACAGUCUUUCACCAUGGCAACAUCACUUUACCUGCUCUUUGAGUUGAAUAUGCUCUCACAUAUUCAAUUCCUACUCUGAACCAGCCAUUCUAUAUAGUCUUAUUUAGUUAUUGCCAACCCUAUGAAAUAUACACUAUCUCUCAUGUUUGAUAUUAUUUAUUAGCCAUCAGCUUUUAUGUCCACCCUUUUCUAUGCUUCUCCUUGUGUUCAAAGGGCUAGAAGCUCAAGAACUAUAUUUCUGGAUGCAAUUUAAAUGCCUCAAUGAGCUACACUCAAAAUAUUUGGAAAGGGAGAGGUAGUCAAAUGCAUUCUUCCAAAAGAGGUGGAGGCAGACAUGGCAGCCUUGGCAGAUAGGAGUUUUGCAGGUCUGGCCAGACUUCAUGUUCUGUUAGUAGUGCCCAGGCUUGAGGCUGUUUUUCCCAAUAGCCAUAGAUAGAGAAAAUUUGGAGAAGCACUCUACUUGGCCCAUCUUGUGUCCCAUGUCCAUCUCUGGACCAACUACUAUGGCCAGGAAAACGAAGUUCCCUAAGAAUAUGGCAGCUCCCGUUCUGAAAAUGUUUCCACAGAAGUCCCCCAAAUUAAGUGGAGUAACACAGACAAGGCCACAGAGGAAUCAGCUUAUCCUGAGUCUCCCCCAAAGCAGUCUUGCUUACAGGUAGUUUAUUUUAGAAGUAAUCCCAAGGAGCAAGACUGAAGGUCAGAGGAGUAAAACAGGGAAGAAGAAAAAAAUAACCCCCAAAUUUCAUGAUGUCUUAUUGAUUUAGUGACCGUUCUGGGUAGCUGGUACACAAUACUGCCAGCAUGUGUUAUUAUUUUGGCUUGUUUACUUGGCUGAAAGAAGGGUCACUUUUAAGUUUCUUACCGUAAUGGCUCUUCAUAGGUUGGGGAACAAAGUGAGUGUUCUCCCAGCUACUAACUGUAUACAUCCCAACUGCAGACUCAGAAACCAGAGAAAUAACCAUAGAGUAGACCAAUAGAUCCGCUGAACCCCUCUGAGACUUACUUGAGCUAGAAUUCCAUUCUUAACCUGGCCUCCCUAUGACCUCAUUUCAACUGGAGGAUAAUUUCAGGACCCUUGAGUUAGUAUGAACACAGAGCAGAGUCCCUAUAUUCAACUGUUCUUUAAAAGUCCAAGGAUUCCCAUUUUGUCAGUUUCUACUAACCAGAUAAACAGUUUUAGAUUAACCUAUGGGAAGGAUCCUGGGACUGUUUAUCAUACAUGCUUGUGGCAGCCCUGCGUUGUCUUUGUUCAAGGGGAUCCACCUCUCCUUCGAUGAGAGGGCUUUGGGUCUGUGAAAUAAUGUAUUUGGAAACUGAGUAGGGACGCUUUUCCUCUGAAGGGAAAGCUGGUGAAGGUUCUUCCAUUCAUCAGCUCUUGAUUUUUUUCUUUUUUACAAGUCGAGUAACAUUCUGAUUGGCUCUCCAUCUCUCUCCCCCAAGGGAAUACCAUGAUUUAUUAAGUACUGCUACCAAUUCCGAGGGGUCAAGGUGUAUUGAGUCCUUCUACAGAUAGCCUAUCAUGACCUGUGUUCCCUUUAUUCUAAUAGUCAGGUGCUGCCACUGGCCUCUGCAAUUCCGCAAUCCUAUCGUCUCCCGAUAUUAGCAAUUCCCUUCCCCUUGCAACACCUUCUUUCUGCCAACCCAGCCUACACAGCCUACGUGGGAUAGUUAUCACAGAGCUUCCUAACUUAACCGGUGCCCCUGAGCCAUGCAUUCCUCUUGCUUUAGUGAAAAAAAGUGUCCUCUGGGUCCUUCCAGGGAACAUUGUUGAGUGCCAGUUUCUCUGAUCACACAAAAUAAAUUUAUCCUAAUAUUUUUACCUCCUUGAAUCUUUGUCUUCCUUCUUCAAUAUUAUGCAGUUCCACCUCAUUUAUACUAGGCUGUUAUCAUGCACAAGCUGCAGAGAGCCAUCUUUCUGGCAUGUAGACAGGCUCCUGGUGUCCUCGGCAGAGCACUGAGCUGCAAGUCAUGGAAGAGGACUCGUGUGUCAAUAAACUAUCCUCCACCCAGCUUUACAUCCCCACUUGCCACCACCACCCCUGAUCCAGAAUCCCCAAGCUCCCCUUCCAUAUAUAUUCUCCUGAAAUAGUCAUAUUCAUCAAGUCCUGAAAUUUUUUUGGCUGGUAGGCUACCUCUUGCCACAAUAGAAGCUAUAUUUCUGCUCUGGGACUAUGCUUAUAUAUCAACUAUGCUUCGUUACCAACCAGAAGGUAAUGAGGGAAGGCAGGUCAGAUCUUGAGGAAGAUACUCAUAACCUUGAGAGGAACUUGCCUCAGGUGUGGUUUUUCAAAUGUCUCCAAAAUAUUGCUCUCUUCC